AAUGAACGUUGGCGGCAUGGAUUAGGCAUGCAAGUCGAGCGAGAAGAGUUUUGAAGCUUGCUUUAGAACUCGGACAGCGGCGAAAGGGAGAGUAACGCGUAGUUAUGCGCCCUAGGGUCCGGAAUAGCCACGGGAAACUGUGGGUAAUGCCGGAUAAUAUCCCCGGAUCAAAGGUGUGAUUCCGCCCUAGGAGCAGACUGCGUCCUACUAGGUAGUUGGUGGGGUAAUGGCCUACCAAGGCAACGAUGGGUAGCGGGUGUGAGAGCAUGACCCGUCUCACUGGGACUGAGACACUGCCCAGACACCUACGGGUGGCUGCCGUCGAGAAUCUUCGGCAAUGGGCGAAAUCCUGACCGAGCGAUGCCGCGUGCGGGAUGAAGGCCCUCGGGUUGUAAACCGCUGUCGUAGGGGAGGAAGGUUCCGUGAAGAGCGGAAUUUGACCUAUCCUAGGAGGAAGUACGGGCUAAGUUCGUGCCAGCAGCCGCCGUAA
rnacentral:rRNA from 1 species